rnacentral:lncRNA from 1 species
CCUGCUUCAGCCUCCUGGGACUAGGAUGUAGCCAGCGUUCACAGCUCCUUGUCUCUGUGUAAGCUGUGGACUGGCAUAUUGUGGUAACUGAGUAAUCACAGUGAAAUGACAAACAGCAUGGGUGUUUGCUUGUUUAUUAGGAUUUCCAUGAAAGAUUUUUAAGUAUUUGACUUUUUCUUUAGAUUACAUCGUCAACCCAAACAUCUCCUUGCAUUUUUAUUGGCAGAAUUGGGUACAAGUGGUUCUAUAGAUGGUAAUAACCAACUUGUAAUCAAAGGAAGAUUCCAACAGAAACAGAUAGAAAACGUCUUGAGAAGAUAUAUCAAGGAAUACGUCACUUGUCACACAUGCCGGUCACCGGACACAAUCCUACAGAAGGACACCCGACUCUAUUUCUUACAGUGUGAAACUUGUCAUUCUCGAUGCUCUGUGGCCAGUAUCAAAACUGGCUUCCAGGCUGUCACAGGCAAGCGAGCACAGCUCCGUGCCAAAGCUAACUAAUUUGCUAAUCACCAUUGAUUUUUUCAAAAUGUGGUGGAGAUUUGGCUGGACAGGUUACCAUCAGAGUGGAUGUACCAUUGAGUUAAAAACAAGAUAGAAACUGCCAAGUUCUUUGGCGAGUGAUUGUUCUGAAAUCCUUGCAAGAUACCGGUAUUCAAGCUGUUGAUAUACUCGUUGCCUACUUUAACAACUGUCAGAGAAACGUGAUGGAGUAAGGAGGUGCUUCUUAAAAUCGUUCAUAGACUUCUGUAAAAUGCAAGAUAAAUUAAAGUUAUUAUAACAGUAAUUCUUUCAAUUUGAUCUGUCCUUCGGUUUUCUUUUCUACAAUAAACUGCUCGUUAAAUUUAGCUAAAAACAAAGUAACAAACUUGAUUCCUGGGGUCUGGCAAGUUCUUUGUCUUCAGAAACUCAAAAUUGGCAGAUACUGGAGCUGGGCAACCAUUUUCCUUUUCAGUGUCUCUUGAAGCUACAUAGCUAGAAUAGAUGGGACUUCCCCUGGGAGUGGCUGGAACAUAAGGUAUGGGACAGUGGCCUGUUUUUAGUGUCUAGAAAAUGACUGGAGGUUUUCUUUGCUUUUGUGAAGAUUGUCGCCACUAUUUUCCAGCCAAUUCCUCAUUCUCUCAUGUGACAACAGCGGAAACUGCCAGGUGCUACAUUCCUCCUCUUUGUGAUUUUGUUUGACUAGCUUUGAGGAAACAUGUAGUAUAGAGAAUUCUUGGGGAAGUUUCUCCAACCUGUGUUCUAGGUCAGUUAAAAGUUCCUUCCUCCUCUGAAAUGCUUUUCUGUACUAAACUAACUUGAAUGUGACCUAGAAACCAAGAGAUACUGCUGCGUGUGUAGUCUUGUUACAUCUAGCUCCACAAGGUCUUUCUCUCCACCGGUCCACAGGAAGGUCAGUCUUGUGGGUCUGUGCUGUAAUCUGCCUUACUUGCGCCCAUCAGGAUAAGGACAUACACGGUGCUCCUCAACUUUUCUGCCACCAGACUGUUAACCUUGCUAAAUGGCCCGAGAACACUCACUUACCCUGCUGUCUUGACUAUGCUGUUUUUAAUCACUGUGACCUGAAUUUUCAAGUAUGGGCCAAAUGUGGCCAAGUAACUUGGCUGUGAAGGAACUUGGUGGUAGAAGGAACUUUACCUCAACCAGGUAGGUCACGAGAUGGGCCAUAUACUGGUUGACCUGCCAACCACCACCCAUUGCCAUGUGAAUAUAACCGUUUGACUGCAAUUUCCAUUUUCUUUUUCUUUUUUUUUGGUACCUCUGCCCAUAACCCCCAAUGUUGGCUAUAUCUGCGUGAAUAAAGCAAGGAUCAGUGCCUCUUGUGUAACUAGUGCUCCAUUGCUUUUGUGUGUAUGUUCUGUUCAUUUCUCUCGGUGGGACCACUCGGUAUGUGCUACUGACUUCCGUUAACUCACAUCUGUCUGCAAUUCCUAUUCCCAAUGCCCUCUUUUGUCCUCAGGAAUUGCAUGCAUGUGAUCUAUAAACAUACAGGCAGAUAAAACACUCAUACACACAAAACCCUGAAAACCUUUUAAAUCUAAUGUGGAAAGAGGCCUAGGCAUGCCAUGCUUAGCCUGUGACCAGCAAGCCAGUCAAGGCUGUAAAUGC